rnacentral:rRNA from 1 species
GGGGGCAACCCUGAUCCAGCCAUGCCGCGUGAGUGAAGAAGGCCUUCGGGUUGUCAAAGCUCUUUUGUCAGGGAAGAAACACCGGCUCUAACACAGUCCGGGAAUGACGGUACCUGAANAAUAAGCACCGGCUAACUACGUGCCAGCAGCCGCGGUAAUACGUANGGUGCNAGCGUUAAUCGGAAUUACUNGGGCGUAAAGCGUGCGCAGGCGGUUAUACNAGACAGGCGUGAAAUCCCCGGGCUUAACCUGGGAAUGGCGCCUGUNACUGUAUAGCUAGAGUGUGUCAGAGGGGGGUAGAAUUCCNCGUGUANCAAUGAAAUGCGUAGAUAUGUGGAGGAAUACCAAUGGCNAANGCAGCCCCCUGGGAUAACACUGACGCUCAUGCACGAAAGCGUGNGGAGCAAACAGGAUUAGAUACCCUGGUAGUCCACGCCCUAAACGAUGCUGACUAGUUGUUCGGGAUUUACAUCCUGAGUAACG